UACAGCCAUACCACGUUGAAACACUGUUUCUCGUCCAGAUCACUGAAGAUAAGCAGCAACGUGCCUGGUCAGUACAUAGAAGAGUGACCACUUGUGAAUACCAG